AUUGAACGCUGGCGGCAGGCCUAACACAUGCAAGUCGAGCGGGGCGACGGACGGGUGAGUAAUGCCUAGGUAUCUGACUGGUAGUUGGGGAUAACUUCCGGCAAGGGGCGCUAGUAACUCCUACUAUCACUUGGGCCUAGGUGGGAUUAGCUAGUUGGGGGGGUAAAGGCCUACCAAGGCGACGAUCCGUAACUGGUCUGAGAGGAUGAUCAGUCACACUGGAACUGAGACACGGUCCAGACUCCUACGGGAGGCAGCAGUGGGGAAUAUUGGACAAUGGGCGAAAGCCUGAUCCAGCCAUGCCGCGUGUGUGAAGAAGGUCUUCGGAUUGUAAAGCACUUUAAGUUGGGAGGCGUUACCAACAGAAUAAGCACCGGCUAACUUCGUGCCAGCAGCCGCGGUAAUUC
rnacentral:rRNA from 1 species